rnacentral:rRNA from 1 species
UACGUAGGUGGCAAGCGUUGUCCGGAUUUACUGGGCGUAAAGGGCGUGCAGGCGGUCUGUUAAGUGCAGGGUGAAAGCUCCCGGCUCAACUGGGAGAGGUCCUUGCAUACUGGCGGACUUGAGGGGGGUAGAGGAAAGUGGAAUUCCCGGUGUAGUGGUGAUAUGCGUAGAUAUCGGGAGGAACACCUGUGGCGAAGGCGGCUUCCUGGACCUGUUCUGACGCUGAGGAGCGAAAGCGUGGGGAGCGAUCCGG